GCCAAUACAAACCCUAGAGACCAAACAUCUCCUUCCUCAUACCCAUUGUCUCCGCCACCUUCCGCCUCACUGCCGCCGGCCGGAAAUAGUCGCUGCCGCCGGCGCAGCUCCAAACUCACCCAAAAACACACCACUGAAUCACCUCUUCCUCCUCUUUCCAAUACCCUCAAAAUCACUCCCCAAAUUUCAUUCCAACUAUUCGAAUAUUCAAAAGAACAGAUGCUGCCUAUGGCGGAGCCACCGCCAAAGCCCUACAAAAUAACACCCAGGUUCCUCAUCUCAUCCCCAUAACAGAUCCAGCCUUAACUUCUUUCAAACUUUAGUCAAUCACCUCGAAUAUCCAUUCAAAACUCUGACCAAAUCCUCAACCUCCCCAGGAUUCCCCAAAUCGACAUCGCACAACCCCUUCACCUCCCUCUCCAUGAAUCUAUAACCAGUAACCCUCAAACAUGACUGAUUCUUGUCAAAAAUUAAAUCAAAAACCGGUCCAAAGCUUAACAUUUCCAAACCCAACCAAUCUUACACCCUGUAUUGUUCUCACUCUCUUCCUCUUAAAAUCCUGAUCAGUCUCUCUCAAAUGUCAAAAUACCUUCCCAAAUUUGAAAUCAAAGGAUGGCCGGAAACCCUAAAAGUUUAAGGGUCAUGGGUUUUGGACUACGCUAGUUACUAAGCUAAGUUUCCCUGUUCAUUCUCUUAUUUUUCUUUUCAUCUUGUUGCUGCAUGUUGUUCUAUGCUGUUUGUUCUUUGAAUAUUUGAUAAUGAUCUUUUGUUAGCUUUAUUUGAAAUUUUUGUUUACUCAAAUUUCUGUUCCUCUGUUUAAAUUCGUUGAUGAUCCGCUUUGAAUGAUUCCUUAUUGACUGGACUUCUAGAUUUCAUGAACAACAUGUUUGAGUAAUUUGAAUUGAAUAGUUGAGGAUUAAGUUGGGUUAUUAGGAUAUGAUUGUUCCAUCCUGCAUGUCUUAGGAUUAAAUUAGGAUUUGUGAUUAUGUUUUGAUUAUAUAACUCAUGUUCAGUAUUUAGUUAGUGUUGAGGUCUGCAAUUUUUUGUGUUAGUUUUGUUUGCUUUUGAUCUUGGGUAAAAUAAUUGGUGUGGCUUCAGUCUCCUUUACAUCUGGUGUUCAGUUUAUUCUAACAUUUUGGCUCAGUUUAAUCAGGGUGAUAAUCAUAUUGGGUUUGGUCAGGGUUUAGUCAUUCUUAUCUCUUUAAGUAAAUUAACUAUAGUCAAAUUCUGUCCAACUUGAUAAGAACUAGGUUGGUGUUUAGUUUAUUCUAACAUUUUGGCUCAGUUUAAUUAGGGUGAUAAUCAGAUUGGGUUUGGUCAGGUUUUAAUCAUUCUUAUCGCCUUAAGUAAAUUAACUAUAGUCAAAUUCUGACCAACAUGAUAAGAACUAGGGUGUAAUUGUUUAGGCAAAGUAAUUGAGGGAAAAGGACAAGGGUAAUAUGGGUAUUUGGAUAGUGGAAUCUUGUAGUAAACCCCUGGAACCUUCUAGUUAGAGGUUCAAAAACUAAAUUAUGGUAAUAUUCUGAUAAGACUUGAGGCACAAGCCAGAAAUAAGGGCUAAGUGAACAAUUCUAAGAAAUAUGAAAGGGACUAUUGAAUAAACACAAAAGAAAGGGGUUGCCCUAAGUUAGGGGUUAUAAAAGGCAGGUUAGUGCCUUCAUUCACAAGUCUGAAAUCCUUGAAAAUUCCCAAGGUUUGGAGUCUGAAAAUCCUAAAAACAAAUUCCAUAAAAAAUCACGGCCUCUUAAAUUGUUAAUUCAAAUAGCCAAAUCUGAAUUUAAAGUUAGAAUUUUCUGUUAGAUCUUUAAUCUUUAAAAAAACCAAAAAAUAAGGUGUUGUUUGUUUAGAGCUUUCCUCCAGAUUAAUCUCUAUAUUCAGUUAUCAGCAUAAAUGAGAUGAAAACAACCUGAAAUAUGUGUGUUUGAGGUACUGGACCUUCAGAAAUUGUCUUGAGUUUGAUUUCAAGUGGUAUGGGUUUAUGCAAGCUGUUUUGUGUGUUUACUGAUGUUGUUUUGUGAUUAAAGCUUUCCUGGGCUGUCUGAUGCUAUUUUUGGGUUCAUAAUAGGCUUGAGCUGUAGAUUUCUGUACUGAGUUACUGCUGAACUUGCUGACCCUGUUACCUCCUUUCAUCUUGCCUUGAUUCCAGGUAUUACUUAAUCUCAAGAGGUGUAUGAUAAUUGGAAAUGAAGAUUCAAGGAAUGGAUAAUGGAUUACUGCUUAUUACCUGAAGAUCUCACUUGUUUCAUUUAGCUUAAAGUUCUAUUUUAGUAUAAUUGAAACCAUAUUCCUUUGUUUGUAUUAGUAUAACUGUGGAUUUAUU
rnacentral:lncRNA from 1 species